CUCUGCUCUGCUGAAAUGGUGCUGCGAGAGUUUCCCUGGAUGCGGGCCCGUCCCACUUCCCAGGACGGCGAGCCAUGUGGCCUCAGACCUCCUUGUGGUC